rfam:Triticum aestivum genome assembly, contig: Triticum_aestivum_CS42_TGACv1_scaffold_429595_5BS
UGAUGCGAUCAUACCAGCACUAAAGCACCGGAUCCCAUCAGAACUCCGAAGUUAAGCGUGCUUGGGCGAGAGUAGUACUAGGAUGGGUGACCUCCUGGGAAGUCCUCGUGUUGCAUUCC